AACGAACGCUGGCGGCAGGCCUAACACAUGCAAGUCGAGCGAACAGACGAGGAGCUUGCUCCUCUGACGUUAGCGGCGGACGGGUGAGUAACACGUGGAUAACCUACCUAUAAGACUGGGAUAACUUCGGGAAACCGGAGCUAAUACCGGAUAACAUGUUGAACCGCAUGGUUCAACAGUGAAAGACGGUUUUGCUGUCACUUAUAGAUGGAUCCGCGUCGCAUUAGCUAGUUGGUAAGGUAACGGCUUACCAAGGCAACGAUGCGUAGCCGACCUGAGAGGGUGAUCGGCCACACUGGAACUGAGACACGGUCCAGACUCCUACGGGAGGCAGCAGUAGGGAAUCUUCCGCAAUGGGCGAAAGCCUGACGGAGCAACGCCGCGUGAGUGAAGAAGGUCUUCGGAUCGUAAAACUCUGUUAUUAGGGAAGAACAAAUGUGUAAGUAACUAUGCACGUCUUGACGGUACCUAAUCAGAAAGCCACGGCUAACUACGUG
rnacentral:rRNA from 1 species